rnacentral:rRNA from 1 species
CUUGGUCAUUUAGAGGAAGUAAAAGUCGUAACAAGGUUUCCGUAGGUGAACCUGCGGAAGGAUCAUUAUCGAAUCGUAGGCGAGGGUUGUCGCUGGCCUCUCGGGGCAUGUGCACGCCCGAGCCCUUGAAUCCCAAACACCACAUGUGAACCCACCGUAGGCCUUCGGGCCUAUGUCUUAUCAUAUAAUCCGAAUGUCUAAUAGAAUGUAAACCCAUUUCGUUGCCUUGAAAACGUAACGAAAGAAAACUAUACAACUUUCAACAACGGAUCUCUUGGCUCUCGCAUCGAUGAAGAACGCAGCGAAAUGCGAUAAGUAAUGUGAAUUGCAGAUUUUCAGUGAAUCAUCGAAUCUUUGAACGCACCUUGCGCCCCUUGGUAUUCCGAGGGGCAUGCCUGUUAGAGUGUCAUUAAAUCCUCAACCCCUCCGAUUCGUUUCGGUGGGGAUUGGACUUGGAGCGUGCUGGCGAAGGUCGGCUCCUCUUUAAAUGCAUCAGCGGAGAAAAUGCCUUUUGCGCCUCUGGCCGUUCAGCGUGAUAAUGACGUUGCGCUGCGGUCGAGCUUAAGGUCCGCUUCCAAAGGUCCUCGGACAAAUAUACAUAUGACUUUUGACCUCAAAUCAGGUAGGACUACCCGCUGAACUUAAGCAUAUCAAUAAGCGGAGGAA